UACGGAGGAUGCAAGCGUUAUCCGGAAUGAUUGGGCGUAAAGCGUCCGCAGGUGGCUAUGUAAGUCUGCUGUUAAAGAGUGAGUCUCAACCUCAUAAGAGCAGUGGAAACUACAUGGCUAGAGUGCGUUCGGGGCAGAGGGAAUUCCUGGUGUAGCGGUGAAAUGCGUAGAGAUCAGGAAGAACACCGGUGGCGAAAGCGCUCUGCUAGGCCGCAACUGACACUCAUGGACGAAAGCUAGGGGAGCGAAUGGG
rnacentral:rRNA from 1 species